CUAAAGAGUGGCCGGAGGUGGAGGUAAUACAGGGGGGGCGUGCGUUAAUAUGGAGUACGGGGGGUAAUGCGAGUGUAGUUGGCACAUUAAGUAACAUGUGAAAGUCCCGGGCUGAACCUGGGAACUUCAGGUGAUACUGGUGGUGCUAGAAUAUGUGAGAGUGAAGUAGAAUUCCAGGUUUAGCGGUGAAAUGCGUAGAGAGCUGGAGGAAUACCGAUGGCGAAGGCAGCUUCCUGGCAUAAUAUUGACACUGAGAUUCGAAAGCGUGGGUAGCAAACAGGAUUAGAUACCCGAGUAGUC
rnacentral:rRNA from 1 species